rnacentral:tRNA from 1 species
GGAGAGGUGGCUCGAGUGGUUGAAGGCGCCUGACUCGAAAUCAGGUAUACGGUGUAACAGUCGUAUCGGGGGUUCGAAUCCCCCCCUCUCCGCCA